rnacentral:lncRNA from 1 species
CGAUCAUCUACUCCAUAGUAGAAGCUCUGUUCAUCCGUGAGCUUGAGCUUGAGCUUCACUAGGCCGGCGAGCUGAGCUUCAGCUUGCCGACUCUGUGAUGCUAUUGCGUAGAUCUAUCUCUACUACGUAUAUGGUUGGGUUGGUUAGUUACCUAUCGGUUACGGCCCAGAUCAGCCGAGGAUUACAGUACCUGGCCAUUCGGCAGGUUAGGUACCUAUACUCAUAACUCAGGCACGGGUUACAGCCACAUGGAAAUCGAAUGAGCUUCUUCUGCCAAAAUCUAUGUCCGUUUCAAGCUCCGUCGAUCCAUACACACAAUCUUGCAUCCGCAGUUCUAGCUAGGCUAAGCUUUGACAGGGCAUGUCGACGUGGUCUGAAGAAUGGUCUCACAGCUCACUUAUUCAGCUUAUUCGGCUUCUUUAUGGCUGUGCUGUUGAACAUCGGUGGUACAUGUACGACAACGGAAUGUUUGACGUUUGAUGUUUGACCUGAGUAACCAACCUUGAAGAAAUCAUCCGAGUGUGAGAAUCAAGGAGAAACAGAAUGGGAUCUUCAAGCCUGUCAUACCACUUGAUACACACUUGUUUGACAGGAUUCUUGGAAAGACCCUUGACUGUUGUGUGCGCUGUGUCUAGUCGUUGAAAAAGACUCGACCAGAACAAUCAAAUUGUCCGAAUUGUAGGUCUGGUCGUCUAUCUCAGACAAUAUCCACCUUGAGACAAAAAAACGAGACCACGUGCUAUUCUGAAUUUUCAAGGGUCUGGCUACAGUAACUACAGAGUGUUUCACGUACUAUGAGUAUGCUUGGACCAAUUCUAUCAUCACAUGACACCAGAAAUAAUCCAUUCAACCUCCUCUCCCAUGGUUUAGGUAUACGCCAUUUUAAUUAUGUUUUAAUUGAACCAAUCAGCAUCCAUGGCUAAGGUUAAACAGCGGCCUGAAUAUAUGAUUGGUUUUGCCGCGAUGAUUUUCGAGAAUUAACAAAGUCCAGGUCCUUGUUCUAACAUCCAAAAAGGAGGUGACUUUUUUUCUACGUAGUUAGUUACUCUUACUACGUAGUUAACUACUUGAAAGAAGGCACAGUCAGCAGAUCUCGAAAAACCAUGUGACCUGUCUAGUCAGUUUUAGUCACUGAAGCUAUCCAACGCCUCCUUUGAUUAUUUAUGGAGCCCAUUUUAUGGAGCCAGUCUCCGAGUCCCAGUUGGAGCUCCGUGGAGCACUUUGACUUUCAAAGACUGGCACCAAUAACGUUCGGCGUGCGGACUUAUCGGAGAUGGAUUUUUCUCGGACAAGGAUCUGGAACCUGGAUAUGGCUAAGGAAUACACUACAUAGUACAAGCAAGUUAGACAAUUGAUUAGUAAAAAGAGCAUGUGACCUCGCCCUCCUGCACCACGGUCAAGAAAUAAACCAUUGAUUGGAUCCUGGCCUCGCUGUCAGGCACAAUUCUUUUUCCAUCGUUGCUUCUUCCCAACAUAUAAAUCGCCUUAUCUUUUAUUUGUAGUUGAUCUAUAAACUAGAUCCGAUCUAGAUCCCCCAAUUCUCGAAUCCGACAGGACGAGAGACAAAAGAAAAGAAGAUAACGAGGCAGAAAACGGAAUGGCCGUCAGAGUAGAGGUGCGUAGUUACCAGGUACGAUUACAUCCAGAUCGAUGUAGUACUGGCAUAGAAGAUGGCGAAUAUGCAUGCAAUCCUGCCUCAUCUAGG